GCAGCAUGUCAAGGCUCAAGUGUGUCAACCCUAGCUUGCACGUACUUGUACGUCGUCGUUCGUUCUCGUUCCGUCCACCGGCCGCGGCCGGGCAGCAUAUGGCAUUAUGGCCCGUACGCAGGUUACUCUUCAGGUGGAGGAGCUUCUUUCAGCGCUGCGGCGGGCGGCGCCGUGCAAGCCUACCGGCAUCGGCAUCGGCAUCGGCAUCGGCAUAAUUGGAGUUCUAUCGGCAGCGUGGGGCAUUAUUGGAGAGUUGGAGCAGCCACACGCAUAGGCAAAACUUGGCCCCGGACCGGAGUCCCCUGCAAGAAACUAACGGGGGGGCAUGGACAAAGGUAAGUUAUUUAUGCAUCGCUGAUCGCUCCUAUCCGUGUGUUCAUUAAUUCACUGCUUUCUGACAGCUCUAGCAAUGGCACACAAAGCAUUAUCUAUGAUCAUGUUUUAUGUAUGUAGUCUAUAAAUUGGUGAAUAUUUAUUGAUCUAUAUUAGUCCCAGUAGUUUCUGCUCAUUUCGGUUUACAUCCCCAGCUAAUUAAGCUCCAUUCUUGUGUCCGUCAUCGAGGUAAUUCCUUCAGCACUUGAGCACUUGUUCAGUUGUUUGAAGAUUUUCGAACGACAUUUUUGAAACUCAAUUAUGAAAGUUGGAGUUAAUUUAUUUGAAGCAAACGAUAUUUGACAGCAACCUUUACCAAGUACCCACCCGUGACCCACUGGGUCUGCGCAUAAUAUGCCCAUCUACUGCCAAAAUGUGGCCGCAUUCGCUGCAGAGAGCAAUCCUGCACGCACAUGAUGAUUUAUUUAUUAUGAUCUAGCAGAUGGCCAGAUGCUGUAGGAAAGUUGCGCACAGGCUAAGGGCCUGGCCCAUAUCAGGUACUCCAAGGCUUUGGACGUUGCCCAACCAGCUCAUGGGCUGAAUUGUAACACGUUCGGACACACAUGUUCCUCCUCACUCGAAAGCAUAUGAAUUCUGAACCAGAGACUCUAGCAGCCAGCAUUUCGCCGACGUGUCUCAGCUCUCAACCUCCAGUCCAGCACGUACGUGGCUGCCUUGCCAGUUGCCACUGGGCACGGGCCCACUGCAACCAGGACCAUGCGUUAAUUAAAUGUGACAGCACCAAUUAACCACCGAACCAUCCGUCCCGGUGAUCAAUAAACGGCAGCCACAUCUUGCACCGACCCUGACCCUGAUGACUGGUGGCCACAAUAUAGAUAGAUGAUAUCUCUUCGGGGCCAAGAAAAGCUCCAAUUGCACACAGAGAUGUCAAUUUCUUCGGGAACGAGAAUGAGAUAGUAAUUAGAUCAAUUUUAUCCUCACGAAGGACUUAAAGAUAGCCCCAUCAGGUAUGACGAGGAUGGGAGCCAUUUCCCGUCCCCAUUUCCCGCGGGGAUCAAACUCCCCAAAAUCACAGCAGCUUACCGAAGUUCCCAACCCAUUAUAACAUCUGAUCACUGUGGAAAGAGCGUUGUAGAAGAACUUUUGACAACAGAACGUAAACAACCGCACUCAUCACAAGUUAGCAAGCUUAAUUCAAUAAGACAUUCUACUGUAUAGAGCGAUAUCAUGUAGAUAACUAAUCUGUAUGUAAAGGCAAAGUGCUGACUGCAAUUGUGGUGCAGUUUUUUCCAUCGCCAUUUUUCCUCUUUUUUUUUUCUGUUUUUCUGGGAACUUUUAAACGCCGUGUAAAUUUCGUUGUAGCCUUCUCCUCCCCCUCCCCCCCCCUUUUUUUUUCUCAAGUGUUGUUGUAGCCUUUUUCACAUGCAAAAGCCAAAAGGCAGAGAGCACCUGCUGUUUUCCUGCUAAAGAAAAAGAAACAGCCGAUCACUAGCAAGCCCACAGUCACUAGCCCACGGCCCACCAACUGUAACGGUAGGCGUCCCUGCCUGCCAAGUCAUAUAGUUUCUAUACUCAUUAAAUUUUAUGGUCCUAAUGGAUAGUUUCUAUAGAAUAUUUUUAUAUCCAAUCACAUUCAUUCUCUCUUUAUUCUUAGCCAAUCAUAUCACUUCAUGUCUUGGAUUUUGUGUAGACAUAGUUUCUAAUUUAGACCCAGUUUCUAUGAUUUUUACUCUCUCUCUUCAAUAACUACAUUGACACUUGAGCAAAAUGCUUAGGUGGCACUACAAUUAAUGUCUAUAGAAAUUAUGAUAGUUUCUGCAUUGGGAGUGUUCUAAUCCCGCCGCCGGCCGCCGCACACCGCACAGGGAGACCGGAGAAGGAAGGAUGAGGGGCAACGCAACGGUGAUGAUGCACAGAGGAUUCAGAUUCGCGUGCCGCUGGCGACAGCGGGAUGACACGCACGGCGAACGGAUGGAUUCGAUCGACUGUCAGCCAUUUAUCAUAAUAAAUUAGAGAAUAGUACCUUCUCUCGUGACUUAUCAGCCAGAAAUGUACAUUCGUGCUUCUUCAUUUUCUUACCAUCAAUUCACGCGCAGUAGAGUAAUUCAAGCUAGCCCGUCUCUCUCAUAGCCAAGAACAACAGUCACUAGCUUGAUUCCGCCGCUCUUGUCUCGGCACUCCGGCAAGCAAACAACUGACAGCAAAGCUCCCUCGUUUUCUUCUGCCUGCGUUCUUCUUCCAAGUCUCCAUCUCUCGUGCCACCGCGCACAACGGUCCAAACGGCUCCCUCGCCGCAGCAGCAUCGCGUCCACACAAACUGCACAUCCACCAGAUACGGCGGUGGUGAUCCGAUCCAGCGUCGUUUCUCGACGACGACGCCGCCGCGCGUUUCUGCACCCACGCACCCCGACCCGGCCGCGCGCGCGCCUGACCGCCCGUGUGGUCCAGGGGACGCCGAUCGGCGCGCGGCCGUCGGCCACACGGUGCCCGGCGCGCGUUAUCCUGGGUGCCGCGCGCGGCGAGGGAAUCGAAGCGAGUGGCGCGCUGGCGGAUGAGGCGGCGAG
rnacentral:lncRNA from 1 species